GACGAACGCUGGCGGCGUGCUUAAUACAUGCCAGUCGAGCGAACGGACGAGAAGCUUGCUUUUCUGUUGUUUGCGGCGGACGGGUGUGUAACACGUGGAUAACCUACCUAUAAGUCUGGGAUAUUUUCGGGAAACCGGAGCUAAUACCGGAUAAUAUUUUGAACCGCAUGGUUCAAAAGUGAAAGACGGUCUUGCUGUCACUUAUAGCUGGUUCCGCGCUGCAUUAGCUAGUUGGUAAGGUAACGGCUUACCAAGGCAACGAUGCAUAGCCGACCUGAGAGGGUGAUCGGCCACACGGGAACUGAAACACGGUCCAGACUCCUACGGGAGGCAGCAGUAGGGAAUCAUCCGCAAUGGGCGAAAGCCUGACGGAGCAACGCCGCGUGAGUGAUGAAGGUCUUCGGAUCGUAAAACUCUGUUAUUAGGGAAGAACACAUGUGUAAGUAACUGUGCACAUCUUGACGGUACCUAAUCAGAAAGCCACGGCUAACUACGUG
rnacentral:rRNA from 1 species